UGGUAGUNCACGCCGUAAACGAUGAGUGCUAGGUGUUAGACCCUUCCCGGGGUUUAGUGCCGCAGCUAACGCAUUAAGCACUCCGCCUGGGGAGUACGACCGCAAGGUUGAAACUCAAAGGAAUUGACGGGGGCCCGCACAAGCGGUGGAGCAUGUGGUUUAAUUCGAAGCAACGCGAAGAACCUUACCAGGUCUUGACAUCCCUCUGACCGCUCUAGAGAUAGAGUUUUCCUUCGGGACAGAGGUGACAGGUGGUGCAUGGUUGUCGUCAGCUCGUGUCGUGAGAUGUUGGGUUAAGUCNCGCAACGAGCGCAACCCCUAUUGUUAGUUGCCAUCAUUUAGUUGGGCACUCUAGCGAGACUGCCGGUAAUAAACCGGAGGAAGGUGGGGAUGACGUCAAAUCAUCAUGCCCCUUAUGACCUGGGCUACACACGUGCUACAAUGGCUGGUACAACGAGUCGCAAGCCGGUGACGGCAAGCUAAUCUCUUAAAGCCAGUCUCAGUUCGGAUUGUAGGCUGCAACUCGCCUACAUGAAGUCGGAAUCGCUAGUAAUCGCGGAUCAGCACGCCGCGGUGAAUACGUUCCCGGGCCUUGU
rnacentral:rRNA from 1 species